rnacentral:lncRNA from 1 species
ACUAACCAUUUCUGACUAUCCUCGUUGCUAAACAUUACAGCAGAAUAUCCAAAAUGUGUCCCUUCUGGCCCGAGAAUAUUGACUACAUUGUUUGUAUCUAUAUUGAAGCAGUCUAUUCCAAUCACCAGCAUCAUACAUGUUAUCACGUUCAAUGUCAUCCUGCAAUCACAGUUUAAUAUUGAGGAAAUAUUUAACACAAAUUUACUUUUGUAUUAGUCACUGAGGAAAUGAAAAGUUCAAUGUUUACCUUCGAUUGUCUUUAAAAAUGCCCUUUUAAAAAAUGUUAUCUUCUAGUACAUAGUAAUCAGGAAGCAAC